rnacentral:rRNA from 1 species
GACGAACGCUGGCGGCGUGCCUAAUACAUGCAAGUCGAACGAGAGCGACCGGUGCUUGCACUGGUCAAUCUAGUGGCGAACGGGUGAGUAACACGUGGGUAACCUGCCCAUCAGAGGGGGAUAACAUUCGGAAACGGAUGCUAAAACCGCAUAGGUCUUCGAACCGCAUGGUUUGUAGAGGAAAAGAGGCGCAAGCUUUCGCUGAUGGAUGGACCCGCGGUGCAUUAGCUAGUUGGUGAGGUAACGGCUCACCAAGGCCGUGAUGCAUAGCCGACCUGAGAGGGUGAUCAGCCACAUUGGAACUGAGACACGGCCCAAACUCCUACGGGAGGCAGCAGUAGGGAAUCUUCCGCAAUGGACGCAAGUCUGACCGAGCAACGCCGCGUGAGUGAAGAAGGUGUUCGGAUUGUAAAGCUCUGUUGUUAGAGAAGAACGAGUGCUAGAGUAACUGUUAGCGCCUUGACGGUAUCAAACCAGAAAGCCACGGCUAACUACGUG